rnacentral:lncRNA from 1 species
UACAACUUCAUAAUAAUAAUCCUUAUUAUUAUUAUUGUUUAUAUAUAUAUAUAUAUAUAUAUAUAUAUAUAUAUAUAUACAUACAUACAUACAUACAUACAGACAUACAUACAUAAAUACAUACAUUUAUAUAUAUAUAUAUAUAUAUAUAUAUAUAUAUAUAUAUAUAUAUAUAUAUAUAUGGAGAGAGAGAGAGAGAGAGAGAGAGAGAGAGAGAGAUAAUUGUAUGGAGUACAAUUAUAUCUAAGGGCACAGAAUCUACAAUGCCUAUAUGCUGAAAGUAGACGCCGAAUAUGCCAAACCACCUUUUAUCUAUUUAAUUUAUUUCAUUUAUUUCGCUCAAUAUGUUUUGCUGACGAAUGAAAAGUUACCAAACUAAACCAGACGUUGAUCAAUCCAAAACUAUCUGAAUCAUUUUAUGAAUUUUUAGUGAGUUUGCUUUCCUGCUUUCAACUUGUAUGUAUACGUGAAGUGGUUGGAUAUAUUCGCAUAUUCGGCGUCUACUUUCAGCAUAUAGGCAUGGUAGCUUCUGUGCCCUUCAGUAUAAUUGUAGAAUUAUAUAUCUCUAUAUAUGUAUUUUACCUAAAAAGUUUUUUAUAUGCUGGCCACUGAUAAAAUUCAUUAGUUUUAAUGAUUUUAUCCAUUAAUUAUGUUAAGAUUCCGUGGAAUUAAGUACUUAAAUUAAGGCACCUUAAAUUAAGGCUACACUCUAAAUUAUAGUAGGCUUGACGUGGUGUACAUUUUUUUCUAAACUCAUUCUGCCACAGAUAUGACAAAAAAAAAAAAAAUAAAAUAAUGUAAAUAUUCUGAGUUCCAUUAUUUGAUGGAUAAUGUUAAAAGAAAUGGUUGUAUCCUUUAUGUUUGAAGUUUAUAUGGUCAUCUGAGGAGGACGGUUUUUUCAAAUGAUGUAAUGCUUUCAUUAAUCAAUUAAAAGAGCCACUUGAAACGGCCGUAAUGAAUUGACACCUGUAGAUCUUUUUUUUACACACACACACACACACACACAUAUAUAUAUAUACACACACACACACUCUCUCUCUCUCAUACACACACACACGACGGGUCUCUUUCUUUCUACUAAACCAAAUUGACUCACUAGCCUUUGGUCGAAGAGAGCUAUAGUUGAAGGAAUUUGCCCAAGUUGCCGCGCAGUAGGACUGAAACUGGAACCAUUUGCUUGGGAAGCAAACUUCUUACCACACCUUCUCCACUGCGCCUUAUUAUCAUUGUUCUUAUUGAUGAUGAUAAUAUUAAAUCUGUUGUUCUUGUUUCUACCACUGAUAUUGUCGUUGUUGCUGUUGCUAUUGCCAGCCUCUUAAACCAUCAACGUAGCUGACUUAUUAUUGUCGAGAUGCCUAGCUAAAUGCACGCUUAAUGAGAAUCGCCAGGCCAUAAAUUUCCUCGGCAGAGAUCUCUGGCAAUCAGUGUCUCCUAUAGAUGUACACACACACACACUCACACACGCACACACACACACACAUACACAAACACACACACAUGCAUACACAUACAUAUGCACAUGCCUAUGCAUGCACACACACAUGUAUCUAUAUAUAGGGAGAUAGUUUGUGAAAUAGAAACUAGACAUACAUGCAUGUGCACAUACCUGCGUAAACAUACACACACAUAUAUAUAUACAUACAUGCAUAUAUAUAUAUAUAUACACAUUCACACACACAUACAUACACACACACGCACACACACACACACACACAUAUAUAUAUAUAUACAUACAUGCAGGAGUGACUGUGUGGUAAGUAGCUUGCUUACCAGCCACAUGGUUCCUGGUUUAUUCCCACUUUGUGGCAACUUGGGCUUCUACUAUAGCCUCGGGCCGACCAAGCCUUGUGAGUGGAUUUAGUAGACGGAAACUGAAAGAAGCCUGGCGUAUAUAUGUAUACAAAUAUGUAUGUAUGUGUAUAUGUUUGUGCGUCUGUAUUUGUCCCCCCUAACGUCGCUUGACAACCGUUGGUGGUGUGUUUACAUCUCCGUAACUUAGCGGUUCGACAAAGGAGACCGAUAGAAUAAGUACUAGGUUUACAAAGAAUAAGUCCUGGGGUCGAUUUGCUCGACUAAAAGGCGGUGCUCCAGCAUGGCAUGGCCACCGUCAAAUGACUGAAACAAGUAAAAGAGAGUAAAAAGUAUACAUACACACACACACACAUUUAUAUAUAAUAAAAAUUUGGAUUCAAAGAAUGAAAUGGACCUCGACAAAGGUUGUGGCUAUCGAGAAAAACUGUAUUAAGGAAAGAAUGUACCGUUGUUCUGAAAAUCCAGGAAUAAACACACGCGCACGCACGCAGAGGAAUCAAGAAAAAUAUGAAGAUUGUAUUGAAACAUAAUAUCGUUGAAGAUUAGGAUCGUUUCAAAUAGCCAGAGGCAGAGUUUUCUCGCUAUUCAUUGCUUUGUAGACGUUAUUCAGCAAUUAAUUGAUUAAUUGCAAAGCGAACCACAGACAUGCCUAACUCAACUACUGCUGGUACAAUGCACGAUGUAUUAC